rnacentral:rRNA from 1 species
UACAGAGGGGGCAAGCGUUGCUCGGAAUCACUGGGCGUAAAGCGCACGUAGGCGGAUUGCUAAGUCAGGGGUGAAAUCCUGGAGCUCAACUCCAGAACUGCCCUUGAUACUGGCGGUCUCGAGUCCGGGAGAGGUGAGUGGAACUGCGAGUGUAGAGGUGAAAUUCGUAGAUAUUCGCAAGAACACCAGUGGCGAAGGCGGCUCACUGGCCCGGACUGACGCUGAGGUGCGAAAGCGUGGGGA